rnacentral:rRNA from 1 species
UAAGCCUGCUAGUUGUGCGGGUUUUAGACCCGCAGCGGAAAGCUCAGUAACACGUGGCCAAGCUACCCUGUGGACGGGAAUACUCUCGGGAAACUGAGGCUAAUCCCCGAUAACGCUUUGCUCCUGGAAGGGGCAAAGCCGGAAACGCUCCGGCGCCACAGGAUGCGGCUGCGGUCGAUUAGGUAGACGGUGGGGUAACGGCCCACCGUGCCCAUAAUCGGUACGGGUUGUGAGAGCAAGAGCCCGGAGACGGAAUCUGAGACAAGAUUCCGGGCCCUACGGGGCGCAGCAGGCGCGAAACCUUUACACUGUACGAAAGUGCGAUAAGGGGACUCCGAGUGUGAAGGCAUAGAGCCUUCACUUUUGUACACCGUAAGGUGGUGCACGAAUAAGGACUGGGCAAGACCGGUGCCAGCCGCCGCGGUAAUACCGGCAGUCCGAGUGAUGGCCGAUCUUAUUGGGCCUAAAGCGUCCGUAGCUGGCUGAACAAGUCCGUUGGGAAAUCUGUCCGCUUAACGGGCAGGCGUCCAGCGGAAACUGUUCAGCUUGGGACCGGAAGACCUGAGGGGUACGUCUGGGGUAGGAGUGAAAUCCUGUAAUCCUGGACGGACCGCCGGUGGCGAAAGCGCCUCAGGAGAACGGAUCCGACAGUGAGGGACGAAAGCUAGGGUCUCGAACCGGAUUAGAUACCCGGGUAGUCCUAGCUGUAAACGAUGUCCGCUAGGUGUGGCGCAGGCUACGAGCCUGCGCUGUGCCGUAGGGAAGCCGAGAAGCGGACCGCCUGGGAAGUACGUCUGCAAGGAUGAAACUUAAAGGAAUUGGCGGGGGAGCACUACAACCGGAGGAGCCUGCGGUUUAAUUGGACUCAACGCCGGACAUCUCACCAGCCCCGACAGUAGUAAUGACGGUCAGGUUGAUGACCUUACCCGAGGCUACUGAGAGGAGGUGCAUGGCCGCCGUCAGCUCGUACCGUGAGGCGUCCUGUUAAGUCAGGCAACGAGCGAGACCCGCACUCCUAAUUGCCAGCAGUACCCUUUGGGUAGCUGGGUACAUUAGGUGGACUGCCGCUGCCAAAGCGGAAGAAGGAACGGGCAACGGUAGGUCAGUAUGCCCCGAAUGGGCUGGGCAACACGCGGGCUACAAUGGUC